AUGAGGUGCUACAAGGCACGAAGGAACAAGAAGGGUAAAGGUGUUGCGCCUGUCGUUCCGGAACGAAAGAGAUGUAUCAUUGUCAAGACGGAAUGCCCUGUCCGGUGUAAGCUGAACGUAGAUGGAGCACGGGGGGUGGUCACUGAAUAUUUUGACGAGCACAACCACGAACUCAUAAAGAAGUUUGACCUGGUAAAAUUUCUGACCGCCCACAGAGGAUUCACCCCCCUCGAGAAGAAAUUCAUAAAGCUGCUACAUGAUUGUAACGUCAGUCCAUCAAGAAUGGUCCAGAUACUGUCCCUCAUCCACAGCAAAAAUGGGACUCUGAGUAGCAUGCCGUACAUACCAGCAGACGUCACAAACCUAAAGGCAAAGUACCGUAGAGAGAGUAGGUUGGCUGACAUAGAAGACACGAUAGCCUACUUCGAUGAGAAAGCGAAAGAAGAUCCAGAUUUCUUCUACAGGAUAAGAUUGGAUGAUGAGGACCAUGUCAGGAACAUGUAUUGGGUGGAUGGUGCUGCAAGAAGAGCCUACAAACAUUUCCGAGAUUGCAUUUCGUUCGACGCGACAUAUCUCACUAAUAUGUACAAGAUGACAUGCGCUCCAUUCAUAGGAAUAAAUAACCACAAUCAGUCAUUGCAGUUCGGAUGCGGGCUCGUUCGAAACGAAGACACGGAUGGGUACACUUGGCUAUUCAAGACCUUCUUGGAGUGCAUGGGUGGACUUGCUCCGAUGAACAUAAUAAUAGACCAGGAUUUUAGCAUGCGUGCAGGCAUAGAGGAGGUCUUUCCGUUGGCAGUGCAUAGACACUGCAGGUGGCACAUUAUAAAGAAGGAUGAGGAGACGCUAGAGUUUGAACGGAGCUGGAUGGCUAUGAUUGAAACAUAUCACGUUCAAGACAACGAGAUGCUUGCUAGCCUGUGGGAGAAGCGAAUGUACUGGGUGCCGGCCUACUUCAUGCACUGCUUCUUCCCAUUUUUGCAGACUACGCAGCGCAGCGAGGGGUUCAAUGCUGUGUUGAAGCGGUACGUGAGCCCUGGCAACUCAUUGUUGCAGUUUGCCAAGCAAUACACGGCUUUGCAACAAAAAAUAAUGGGAUCUGAGCUACAGCAAGAAGCAAACACCGCGCUAAAGCAGCCUAAAUUGCUAACAUAUUUACCAAUGGUGGACGAACAUACGUUCAAGGGCAUGUCGGAUUCAGAACCUGAAGACCCAGACAAAGGAAGGAACUACUUUGUGAAGGCCUUGAUAAGCAAAGGCGAAUACUACUGCCAAUGCUGCAAAUUUGAACGGGACGGGAUUGUGUGCUGUCACAUACUAAAAGUAAAGGACAUGAACGCGGACACGAAUGCCCCGCCAUUUCAUACGGCAGCGAUGGACUUGGGACGUUGA
rnacentral:rRNA from 1 species